rnacentral:ncRNA from 1 species
CCCGCUGAGUUUAAGCAUAUCAAUAAGCAGAGGAAAAGAAACCUACAAAGAUUCCCUUAGUAACAACGAGCGAACUGGGAACAACCCAGCCUUAGAAUCGGGCGGCGCCGUCGUCCGAAUUGUAGUAUGGAGAAGCGUCCUCAGCGAGGGACCGGGACCAAGUCUCCUGGAAGGAGGCGCCAGAGAGGGUGAGAGCCCUGCUGUGCCCAGACCUUAUCGCACCACGAGGCUCUGUCUACGAGUCGAGGUGUUUGGGGAUGCAACCCAAAGCGGGCAGUGAAUUUCGUCCAAGGCUAAAUACGGGCGAGAGACUGAUAGCGAACAAGUACCGCGAGGGAAAGAUGAAAAGGACUUUGAAAAGAGAGUCAAAAAGUACUUGAAAUUAUCGGGAGGAAAGUGGAUGGGGGCCGGCGAUGCACCCCAUUCGGAUGUGGAACGGUGACGAUCCGGUCCGCCAAUCGACUCAGGGCAUGGACCAGAGUAGAUUGGAGAGGGGGGGCAAAGCCCGGGCUCUCGAUACGCCUGUGGAACGCGCUAACUAUCGGGGUUCCCCCGACCCUUAUGAUCGACUAACCCAUGUGCAAGUGUCGUUCACAUGGAACAUUUCCCCUCUUUGGCCUACAAAGUUCUCAUUUGAAUAUUUGCUACUACCACCAAGAUCUGCACCGACGGCCGCUCACGCCCAAGGUUUUGCAGUGACCGCCGCGCCUUCCUACUCAUUGGGGCCUGGCACUUGCCUCGACGACCGGGUGUAGGUCGUGCGCUUAAGCGCCAUCCAUUUUUGGGGCUAGAUGGUACUUAAGCGUGCGACCUACACCCGACUGUUAGGGCAAGUGCCAGGCCCCGAUGAGUAGGAGGGUGCGGCGAUCGCUGCAAAACCUUAGGUGUGAGCGUAGGCGGAGCGACCAUCGGUGCAGAUCUUGGUGGUAGUAUCAAAUAUUCAAAUGAGAACUUUGAAGGCCAAAGAGGGGAAAGGUUCCAUGAAAAUGGCACUUGCACAUGGGUUAGUCGAUCCUAAGGGUCGGGGGAACCCCAACAGAUAGCCCGUUUUGCACGUACUCUGAAAGGGAAUCGACGUGAUGAUUGACAACACGUUAGGAAGUCUAGAGACGUCGGUGGAAGCCUCAGGAGAGAGUUAUCUUUUUGUUUCAACAGCCUGCCCACCCUGGAAUCGACUCAGCCGGAAGUAGGGUCCAACGGCUGAAAGAGCAUUGCACGUCACGUGGUGUCUAGUGCACUCCUGACAGCCCUUGAAAAUCCGGAGGACCGAAUGCCGUCCACACCCGGUCAUACUCAUAAUCGCAUGAGGUCUCCAAGGUGAACAACCUCUGGUC